ACUGGGUGUGGGUGUGCACACCUGUAAUCCCAGCAACUCGGAAGGCUGAGGUAGGAGGAUCACAAGUUCAGAGCCAGCCUCAGCCAUUUAGUGAGACCCUGACUCAU
rnacentral:sRNA from 1 species